UCUGACACAGGUGCUGCAUGGCUGUCGUCAGCUCGUGUCGUGAGAUGUUGGGUUAAGGUCCCGUAACGAGCGCAACCCUUGUCCUUAGUUACCAGCACGUUAUGGUGGGCACUCUAAGGAGACUGCCGGUGACAAACCGGAGGAAGGUGGGGAGUGACGUCAAGUCAUCAUGGCCCUUACGGCCUGGGCUACACACGUGCUACAAUGGUCGGUACAAAGGGUUGCCAAGCCGCGAGGUGGAGCUAAUCCCAUAAAACCGAAUCGUAGUCCGGAUCGCAGUCUGCAACUCGACUGCGUGAAGUCGGAAUCGCUAGUAAUCGUGAAUCAGAAUGUCACGGUGAAUACGUUCCCGGGCCUU
rnacentral:rRNA from 1 species